AUUGAACGCUGGCGGCAGGCCUAACACAUGCAAGUCGAACGAGUGGCGGACGGGUGAGUAAUGUCUGGGAAACUGCCCGAUGGAGGGGGAUAACUAAUGGAAACGGUAGCUAAUACCGCAUACCAUCGGAUGUGCCCAGAUGGGAAUAGCUAGGAGGUGGGGUAACGGCUCACCUAGGCGACGAUGCCUAGCUGGGCUGCGAGGAUGACCAUCCACACUGGAAAGGAGACACGGUCCAGACUCCGACGGGAGGCAGCAGUGGGGAAUAUUGCACAAUGGGCGCAAGCCUGAUGCAGCCAUGCCGCGUGUAUGAAGAAGGUCUUCGGGUUGUAAAGUACUUUCAGCGAGGAGGCGUUACUCGCAGAAGAAGCACCGGCUAACUCCGUGCCAGCAGCCGCGGUAAUUC
rnacentral:rRNA from 1 species